UUAACUGAAACCAAAAAGAGGUAUAUUACUGUUAAUAAUAAAACUGAAUGAACAUUCCAGUUAAA
rnacentral:tRNA from 1 species